ACUCAAAUGAAUUGACGGGGGCUCACACAAGCGGUGGAGCAUGUGGUUCAAUUCGAAGCAACGCGCAGAACCUUACCUGGGCUUGAAACGCUAGGAUUAUCUCCAUGAAAGUGGAGUAGGCCCUUCGGGGUACAACUAGUACAGGUGCUGCAUGGCUGUCGUCAGCUCGUGUCGUGAGAUGUCGGGUUAAGUCCCAUAACGAGCGAAACCUUUGCCCUUAGUUACCAGCGGGUUAUGCCGGGGACUCUAAGGGGACUGCCGGUGUCAAACCGGAGGAAGGUGGAGAUGACGUCAAGUCCUCAUGGCCUUUAUGCCCAGGGCCACACACGUGCUACAAUGGGAUGGACAAAGGGAACCUAGAACGCGAGUUCAUGGAAAUCUCAUAAAUCAUCCCCCAGUUCAGAUCGGAGGCUGCAACUCGCCUCCGUGAAGUUGGAAUCGCUAGUAAUCGCGGAUCAGCUACGCCGCGGUGAAUAUGUUCCUGAGCCUUGUACACACCGCCCGU
rnacentral:rRNA from 1 species